GAUGAACGCUAGCUACAGGCUUAACACAUGCAAGUCGAGGGGCAGCAUGGUCUUAGCUUGCUAAGGCCGAUGGCGACCGGCGCACGGGUGAGUAACACGUAUCCAACCUGCCGUCUACUCUUGGACAGCCUUCUGAAAGGAAGAUUAAUACAAGAUGGCAUCAUGAGUCCGCAUGUUCACAUGAUUAAAGGUAUUCCGGUAGACGAUGGGGGUGCGUUCCAUUAGAUAGUAGGCGGGGUAACGGCCCACCUAGUCUUCGAUGGAUAGGGGUUCUGAGAGGAAGGUCCCCCACAUUGGAACUGAGACACGGUCCAAACUCCUACGGGAGGCAGCAGUGAGGAAUAUUGGUCAAUGGGCGAGAGCCUGAACCAGCCAAGUAGCGUGAAGGAUGACUGCCCUAUGGGUUGUAAACUUCUUUUAUAAAGGAAUAAAGUCGGGUAUGCAUACCCGUUUGCAUGUACUUUAUGAAUAAGGAUCGGCUAACUCCGUGCCAGCAGCCGCGGUAAUACGGAGGAUCCGAGCGUUAUCCGGAUUUAUUGGGUUUAAAGGGAGCGUAGAUGGAUGUUUAAGUCAGUUGUGAAAGUUUGCGGCUCAACCGUAAAAUUGCAGUUGAUACUGGAUAUCUUGAGUGCAGUUGAGGCAGGCGGAAUUCGUGGUGUAGCGGUGAAAUGCUUAGAUAUCACGAAGAACUCCGAUUGCGAAGGCAGCCUGCUAAGCUGCAACUGACAUUGAGGCUCGAAAGUGUGGGUAUCAAACAGGAUUAGAUACCCUGGUAGUCCACACGGUAAACGAUGAAUACUCGCUGUUUGCGAUAUACAGCAAGCGGCCAAGCGAAAGCGUUAAGUAUUCCACCUGGGGAGUACGCCGGCAACGGUGAAACUCAAAGGAAUUGACGGGGGCCCGCACAAGCGGAGGAACAUGUGGUUUAAUUCGAUGAUACGCGAGGAACCUUACCCGGGCUUAAAUUGCAGAUGAAUUACGGUGAAAGCCGUAAGCCGCAAGGCAUCUGUGAAGGUGCUGCAUGGUUGUCGUCAGCUCGUGCCGUGAGGUGUCGGCUUAAGUGCCAUAACGAGCGCAACCCUUGUUGUCAGUUACUAACAGGUUCCGCUGAGGACUCUGACAAGACUGCCAUCGUAAGAUGUGAGGAAGGUGGGGAUGACGUCAAAUCAGCACGGCCCUUACGUCCGGGGCUACACACGUGUUACAAUGGGGGGUACAGAGGGCCGCUACCACGCGAGUGGAUGCCAGUCCCAAAAACCUCUCUCAGUUCGGACUGGAGUCUGCAACCCGACUCCACGAAGCUGGAUUCGCUAGUAAUCGCGCAUCAGCCACGGCGCGGUGAAUACGUUCCCGGGCCU
rnacentral:rRNA from 1 species